UACGUAGGGCGCAAGCGUUGUCCGGAAUUAUUGGGCGUAAAGAGCUCGUAGGCGGCUUGUCACGUCGGGUGUGAAAGCCCGGGGCUUAACCCCGGGUCUGCAUUCGAUACGGGCAGGCUAGAGUGUGGUAGGGGAGAUCGGAAUUCCUGGUGUAGCGGUGAAAUGCGCAGAUAUCAGGAAGAACACCAAUGGCGAAAGCAGCUUUCUGGGACGGUACUGACGCUGAGACGCGAAAGCGUGGGGAGCGAACAGG
rnacentral:rRNA from 1 species